rnacentral:rRNA from 1 species
CACGUAGGGGGCAAGCGUUGUCCGGAAUGACUGGGCGUAAAGGGCGUGUAGGCGGUUUAUCAAGUCAGAUGUGAAACACCUGGGCUCAACCGAGGUCUUGCAUUUGAAACUGAUAGACUUGAGUGCAGGAGAGGAGAGUGGAAUUCCCAGUGUAGCGGUGAAAUGCGUAGAUAUUGGGAGGAACACCAGUGGCGAAGGCGACUCUCUGGACUGCAACUGACGCUGAGGCGCGAAAGCUGGGGGAGCGAACGGG